UACGAAGGGGGCUAGCGUUGUUCGGAAUUACUGGGCGUAAAGCGCACGUAGGCGGAUCGAUCAGUCAGUGGUGAAAUCCCAGAGCUCAACUCUGGAACUGCCUUUGAUACUGUCGAUCUGGAGUAUGGAAGAGGUGAGUGGAAUUCCGAGUGUAGAGGUGAAAUUCGUAGAUAUUCGGAGGAACACCAGUGGCGAAGGCGGCUCACUGGUCCAUUACUGACGCUGAGGUGCGAAAGCGUGGGGAGCAAACAGG
rnacentral:rRNA from 1 species